GCCAGACUCCUACGGGAGGCAGCAGUGAGGGAUAUUGGGCAAUGGGGGAAACCCUGACCCAGCGACGCCGCGUGAGGGAAGACGGUCUUCGGAUUGUAAACCUCUGUCUUUGGGGACGAAAAAGGACGGUACCCAAGGAGGAAGCUCCGGCUAACUACGUGCCAGCAGCCGCGGUAAUACGUAGGGGGCAAGCGUUAUCCGGAUUUACUGGGUGUAAAGGGAGCGUAGACGGCAUAGCAAGUCUGAAGUGAAAGCCCAAGGCUCAACCAUGGGACUGCUUUGGAAACUGUUAAGCUAGAGUGCUGGAGAGGUAAGCGGAAUUCCUAGUGUAGCGGUGAAAUGCGUAGAUAUUAGGAAGAACACCAGUGGCGAAGGCGGCUUACUGGACAGUAACUGACGUUGAGGCUCGAAAGCGUGGGGAGCAAACAGGAUUAGAUACCCGGGUACC
rnacentral:rRNA from 1 species